GAUGAACGCUGGCGGCGUGCCUAAUACAUGCAAGUCGAGCGAACAGACGAGGAGCUUGCUCCUCUGACGUUAGCGGCGGACGGGUGAGUAACACGUGGAUAACCUACCUAUAAGACUGGGAUAACUUCGGGACACCGGAGCUAAUACCGGAUAAUAUAUUGAACCGCAUGGUUCAAUAGUGAAAGACGGUUUUGCUGUCACUUAUAGAUGGUUCCGCGCCGCAUUAGCUAGUUGGUAAGGUAACGGCUUACCAAGGCAACGAUGCGUAGCCGACCUGAGAGGGUGAGCGGCCACACUGGAACUGAGACACGGUCCAGACUCCUACGGGAGGCAGCAGUAGGGAAUCUUCCGCAAUGGGCGAAAGCCUGACGGAGCAACGCCGCGUGAGUGAUGAAGGUCUUCGGAUCGUAAAACUCUGUUAUUAGGGAAGAACAAAUGUGUAAGUAACUAUGCACGUCGUGACGGUACCUAAUCAGAAAGCCACGGCUAACUACGUG
rnacentral:rRNA from 1 species